rnacentral:rRNA from 1 species
UACGGAGGGUGCGAGCGUUGUCCGGAAUCACUGGGCGUAAAGGGCGCGUAGGCGGCCUGAUAAGUAGGGGGUGAAAUCCUGCGGCUUAACCGCAGGGCUGCCUUCUAAACUGUCAGGCUAGAGCACAGUAGAGGCAGGUGGAAUUCCCGGUGUAGCGGUGGAAUGCGUAGAGAUCGGGAAGAACAUCAGUGGCGAAGGCGGCCUGCGUGGGCUGAUACUGACGCUGAGGCGACGAAAGCCAGGGGAGCGAACGGG